rnacentral:rRNA from 1 species
CAACCUACCUAUCAGGAGGGGAACUAACCCGGCGAAAGUCGGACUAAUACCGCAUAAAACAGGGGCACCGCAUGGUGAUAUUUGUUAAAGAAAUUCGCUGAUAGAUGGGCAUGCGUUCCAUUAGGUAGUUGGUGAGGUAACGGCUCACCAAGCCGACGAUGGAUAGGGGAACUGAGAGGUUGGUCCCCCACACUGGUACUGAGACACGGACCAGACUCCUACGGGAGGCAGCAGUGAGGAAUAUUGGUCAAUGGGCGGGAGCCUGAACCAGCCAAGUCGCGUGAAAAGGAAGAAGGAUCUAUGGUUACGUAAACUUCUUUUGCAGGGGAAUAAAGUGCAGGACGUGUCCUGUUUUGUAUGUACCCUGAGAAUAAGGAUCGGCUAACUCCGUGCCAGCAGCGGC